AAUAUAAAUUAAGGGCGUAUGGUGGAUGCCUUGACACAAAAUGGCGAUGAAGGACGUGGCGUAGCUGCGAUAAGCUUCGGGGAGGUGCCUAGCAACCUUUGAUCCGGAGAUGUCCGAAUGGGAAAACCCAAUUGCGUAAACCGCAAUUAUCUAUCCGCUUUAUUGCGGAAGAUGCGUAUCUGCUGAAGUGAAACAUCUCAGUAAGCAGAAGAAAAGAGAAUAAUAAUUAUUCCCUGAGUAGCGGCGAGCGAAACGGGAAGAGUCCAAACUUAGAGUUUGCGUAGAAAAACCUGGAUGUCAGGAAUUGGAUUAAACCGAUUACUAGUUCAGAAAUUUUUCUAUGCGUGAUUCUGAGGGUUGCAAGAUAGAAACUUUUUAACUUCAAAAUCGUGGCGUCAAUAGUGGCGCAAUGAUUUUGCGGUUAGAAGGAAAGUUACAAAAAUGUUGGUUAGUGGAAUCCGCUGGAAAGCGGAGCCAAAGGGAGUGAUAGCCUCGUACACAAAAACUGACAAUCUUUCUUGUUUUUACCGGUGAAAAUCCGGAGAUAACCUUUAUGGUUAUCUAUCUUAAGUACUUCGAGGUCAUCUAGCUUCGAAGGAAUCAGCCAGUACUAUCUGGUAAGACUAAAUACAUUUUGUGAUCGAUAGUGAACUAGUACCGUGAGGGAAAGGUGAAAAGUAGCCCGGUGAGGGCAGUGAAAUAGUAACUGAAACCAUAUCGUCUACAAGGAAUCGAAGCACGCAAGUGCAACGAUGUGCCUAUUGAAGAAUGAGCCAACGACUUUACAUAAGUGGCUUGGUUAAUCCGCAUUGCGGAGGAGCCGUAGGGAAACCGAGUGUGAAUAGCGCGAUUGCCGCAAGGCAGUGUCAUUUAUGUAAGACCCGAAUCCAGACGAGCUUGUCCUGAUCAGGUUGAACUUUGGGUAACACCAGAGGGAGGACCGAACCGGUAGGUUGUGCAACACCUUCGGAUGAAUUGGGAUAAGGAGUGAAAAGCUAAUCGAGUCUGGUAAUAGCUGGUUCUCUCCGAAACAGUUUUAGGACUGGCGGAUAGCAAAAACUUUUUAGGGGUAGAGCACUGGAUGGUCUGUACUGGCCGCAAGGCCGGCAGACCAAUCAAACUCCGAAUACUAGAAAGGACGUUAUCUAGUUAGACUGUGGGGGCAAAGCUCCAUGGUCGCAAGGGAAACAGCCCAGAUCGUCGUCUAAGGUCCCUAAAUUUCUGCUAAGUGUAAAAGGUAGUAAUACACCAUUGACAGGUAGGAGGUUGGCUUAGAGGUAGCCAUCCUUUAAAGAGUGUGUAACAACUCACUACUCAACGGUGUGCUGCGCCAAAAAUGUACCGGGGCUAAGCAGAGUACCGAAGACACGGGUUUGUCAGCGCAAGCUGAUAAGCGGUAGGAGAGCGUUUUAAUUGCGCUGAAGGCAUAUCCGCGAGGAGUGCUGGAGCGAUUAGAAGAGAGAAUGUUGGCAUGAGUAACCCCAAUGUCGAUGAGAAAUCGACACCACAAAAAUCCAAGGUUUCCGUGGCAAUGGCAAUCAACCACGGGUUAGGCGAUCCUAAGGCAAUGGUGAAAACCGCAGCUAAUGGGUAGCCGGUUAAUAUUCCGGCCCGCCUUACAUAUUCGAUGGAGUGACGAAGAAAAUGAAAUUGCGCGCCUUAAUGGUUUGGCGUCGCUAUUCUGAGAAAUGGUACCCAGGAAAAUCCGGGGCUUGCCUUUAAUGGCGAAUUUCGUGGAUGUGCGUAAGGCUACGCUUUUGCGUAGCUAAUGCAAUUGAAGAGUCUUCCGAGAAAAACUUCUAAGAUUAGUAUGUGAGGCAUCGUACCGUAAACCGACACUGGUGGAUAAGGCGAGUAGCCUAAGUGGAACGAGUGAGUCAUCCUUAAGGAACUCGGCAAAAAAGCGGCCGUAAGUUCGCAAUAAGGCCUGCCCACACCACUUUGUUCUGAAUGCCCAUAUUGGGCGUCAUAGCAAAGUGUAAUGGAAGGCGAUCAAAACAAUCUUGAUUAUUAAAGGAAUUGAUAAUCCGGAGGUGCUGAUCACCGCACGUAUUAAUUAAUAUGGAAUUAUGCAAUUUUUUUCAUAUUAUUUUUUCACUUUGGAUUUGAUGCAUGAGCAUUAAGACUAAAGUGGUGUGGGCCGCAGCAAAAGUAUCCCUGGCAACUGUUUACCAAAAACACAGCUUCCUGCGAAGACGUAAGUCUAUGUAUAGGAGGUGAUGCCUGACCGAUGCGAGAAGGUUAACGAUGGGAGUGAAUGCAGCAAUGUAUUUGCCCACUGUCCGAAGCCCUCGUCAAUGUCAGCGGUAACUAUAACCGUUCUAAGGUAGCGCAAUUCCUUUUCGGGUAAGUUCCGAAGCGCACGAAAGGUAUAAUGACUGGGGAACUGUCUCAAGGAUGAGCUCGGUGAAAUUGCGAUUCCCGUGAAGACGCGGGAUACCUGCAACGGGACGAAAAGACCCCGAGAGCUUUACUGUAGCUUGGUAUUGUGUUUAGAAAUUGGAUGCGUAGUGUAGUGGCGAGGGGAUGAAGUCUGGUUUUCGGAUCAGAUGGACUCGACAAUGAAACAGCCACCUUCGGAUUUUUAAAUUCUAACCUGGACGGCAAAAACGUUCGGAGACAGUGCCUGGUGGGCAGUUUAAAUGGGGCAUUUUCCUCCCAAAGAGUAAUGGAGGAGUUUAUUAAGGUUGGCUUAGCCCGGAUGGAAAUCGGGCUGGACGCGUAAACGCACAAGCCAGCUUAACUGCAAGACCUACAAGUCGCGCAGAUGCGAAAGCAGAAGUUAGUGACCCGACAGUCCUUUAUAGAAAGGCUGGAGACAACGGCUAAAAGUUACCUCGGGGAUAACAGGCUAGUGUGAUCCGAGAGUUCCUAUCGACGAUCACGCUCGGCACCUCGAUGUCGGCUCGCCCUAGCGCGGGGCUGGAGAAGGUCCCAAGCGU
rnacentral:rRNA from 1 species